UACGGGGGGGGCAAGCGUUGUUCGGAAUUACUGGGCGUAAAGGGCUUGUAGGUGGCCCGCUAAGUCACACGUGAAAUCCCUCAGCUUAACUGGGGAACUGCGUGUGAGACUGGCAGGCUCGAGGGCAGGAGAGGAACGCGGAAUUCCAGGUGUAGCGGUGAAAUGCGUAGAUAUCUGGAGGAACACCGGUGGCGAAGGCGGCGUUCUGGACUGUCUCUGACACUGAAGAACGAAAGCCAGGGGAGCAAACGGG
rnacentral:rRNA from 1 species